rnacentral:lncRNA from 1 species
CUCAGAGGCAAGGCAGCUGGGAGAAGGAGGAGGGAGAUGGAUGGGUCAGGCCACCUCAGGGCCUGACCUCAGGGCCUGGGCUCCCCCAGGCAGCUCCCCAGUGGUAGGGAAGUCUUGGACAGGAGUAGCAUCUGGGAAGGAGCCUCCCAAGUUAUUGGAUUUAUGAAUGAAGAAGCGACAAAAUCACUUGGAUUGGAGAAGUGGAAGUUGAAGCGCUUCCCACCUGCGGGGAUCACCAGGAGAACAGAAAAAAUUGUAAUAAGCAGAAACAGCCCCCAGGAAGACCAGAGUCUACUCGUCCUUCAGUCACUCAUUCAGCAGACCCUUGUUGAGGCUGGAAUGGGAGGGGAGCCAAGACACGGGUUUUCACGAAGAAAUCAACACCUCCAUUCUAGAAAACACAGGACUGUUUGAUUGGAAUUGUGCUGACUCUAUACAUUGGUUUUAGAAGAUCUGACAUCUUAAUAUGGUCUCCCAAUCCAUCGACAUGGCAUCUUUCUCCAUCUAUUGAGGUCUUUGGUCUCCUUCAUCACUAUUGUUUUGUUUUCAGCAUAUGGGUUUUGCAUGUAUUUUGUAAGAUUCAUACUUAAUCACUCAUGGUUUUGGUACUAUUGUAUUUAAAUGGUACCUUCAAAUAUUUUCAUUUUCAAUUGGAAGUGUCUAGAAAUACAAUCAGUUUUUGCAUAUAGACCUUCCAUCCUAGGACCUCACUAAAUUUGCAUUUUAGUUCCAGUUGUUGUUCAGUCCCUAAGCUGUGUCUGACACUUCACAACCCCAUGAACUACAGCAUACCAGGCUUCCCUGUCCUUCACUGUUUCCCGGAGUUUGCUCAAACUCAUGUCCAUUGAGUUGGUGAUGCCAUCCAACCAUCUCAUCCUCUGUCACUCCCUUCUCCUCCUGCCCUCAAUCUUCCCCAACAGUUUAGUUCUAGUAAGUUUUUCAUAGACUUUUUGGAAUUUUUUUUGGUGUAGAUAAUUAUGUAAUCUAUAAAUACAGA